rnacentral:lncRNA from 1 species
UGCCACCAGCAUCCUUUCCGUUUCCUCUCUCUCCAUAAAUAAAGGACCAAUCUUCUUCCCUGGCAAUAGUAUGGAGUGUGGUGGAUAGGAAGCAAUCUCUUUGUGUGGUCCGCCCCUCUGCCAGGUCACCGGUCCGCGGCACCUACCCUCCUCUUCCGGCUUUGCCGGCGGUGCGCGCUACCUCCCCGAUCUCAGUGUGUGGUCAGCCCCUCUGGCACGGUCGCCGGUCCACGGCAUCUCCGCCUUUGCCGGUGCUGCCCGCCGCCUCCCCUCGAUCUCUGCGUGUGGUCAGCCCCUUUGGCACGGUCGUCGGUCCACGACACCUCCUCUUCUCCUCCGCCUCUGCCGCUGCUGCCCGCUGCCUUCCCUCCUCCUCCGCCCCUGCCACUGUCCUUGGUGGCAUGUGUCGAACCCUGCUUCGUUCGCCGCUCCCGCGGAUGGAAGGCAUGAGUUCGUGGCCUAUGUUUAUCUGUUGGAUCCUGGAAGGAUGCUUUGCCCGGCGACUGAACCAUAGGCGGACGCCGCGCCGGCCAAGUGCCCAGCUGGUGGACAACUUUCUUUUCGGCCUCGAAGGUAUACCUGGGCUGAUGGUAACGCAGGGUAGGGCCUCCAUUAACAACCACAGCUUGCAACAACGUUGGAUCGACCUCGAGCGUGUAUAAACAUAGAUAUAGCUUGAACUAGAUAAUCUAAUUUGUGGUCUGCGUCCUACUCCAACAUCACCCACACCAAAGGUCGAUGCGCUGCCUCCUCUGUCUCCUUAGAUGUGAGUAUUUUUUGAGUUAAUUUCGGUUGGAAACUUUGAUUUGUGUGUUAUAGGAAGCCUUUUUUGGAUGAAAGCUAUAUGUUUUGUCUCCAUCCACCUCCCACUGGCAGCAAGUCUGGUCAAUCUCUCACAUCCACAGUCCUCUAUAACUUAAGCACUGUCUGCAAGAAUGUGUCGAGAUAUGAUGGAUCGUUCUCAUAUCUCCCAUUUGGAUGAUUUUGAUUGCAAGCGCUAGAUGGCGAAAAUUUCCUAUCUUUCAAAUCUUGGAGUACUGGUUGUCCAUCUUCUGUAAUGCUUUGCCUUUCAUCGACGCUGAAUAUUUGUGCAUGUCUCGCUGUGGCUCUGUGCUUGCUUACUAAUCAGCCCAUCAGCCUUUUCAAACUUGGAUAGUUGUCAUUUUGAGGAGCCUGCUUUCAUGUAUCUUGCCAAAGUGACACCCGUGAAACUUAUUUCUCUAUUUAUUUUAGUUAACUAUUUGGUGUAUUCUAGACAAUUCAUGUUUAAGGGAAAGAAUAGCUUUAUAUAUUGAUGCUGCUUCUGAAAUAUUUUAUUUGUUAGAAGGUACUUCUCUGUGCAUUUACAGGUAAACAAAAAAAUUGGAGUAGGGGCGUACAACUGAUUUGACAAAAUCAAUAUCAGUUAUGCAUGCAUCAUGGAUGUGAUUCUAAAGUUACAGAAGUAUAUAGGAAGCCAGAUCAAUUUCUGAAUUACUAUAACCUUUUCUACUUAGAUAGACCUAGCAAUUCGGAUCCGAUGUACCAAGUUGUGGAAUUAUUCUCUACGAUGAAGAGUUUGUUUAAGGAUAUUUAUUAUGGUUUAUAGUUUCUAUCUCUCAGUAAGGUCCCUGUAUGGUUUUACCAGUUUUACAACUAGCCAGAUACGUGCUAGGAGCUAUAUGGCGUACUCGCAACUAUAGCAUGGCAAAUCAUAUAUGAGUUACUAUACUUCCUGUUGUAGUAUAAAACCGUUUAAUGCCCAUGUAGCGUGGGCAACUCUGCCUACUAAUCAACACUAAAAAGAUAUGUCCAGUGGAAGGUUUCUUUGCAUUAGCUUAUUCUGGGCUUUUUUUGGAAUCUUGAACUGAUAGCAAAAUACUUUUGAUAACGAGACAUGAUUUUCAGCACCGGGUGCCCCUACACCCUCUAUGAACAGUAAAUUCAAAACAAGUUCAAAAAAAAAACUGAAACUUUGGGACAUCGAACAUCAUGAAACUUUUGAUGAUCUUGCAAAGUUUUAGCUAAAAGUUACAUUCGAAGAGCACUCAAAUAGUAAAACAAAAUCAUUGUUCAAAGUUUAUGUACAUUUUUGAGCAGUGAUUUUUUUUGUGAGGGCUCCACGAAGGUUAUUUGCUGCUGAAACUUUGAAGGAACAUCAAACCUUUAAUAAUCUUUGAUCCCUGAAAGUUUCAGAUUUUUUAAUUUGUUUUCUAUUUUUAUGAAUUUACUGUUCAUGAGGGUGUAGGGGCACCCGGGAGUUGUUAGACAUUUCUCUGUACUCUUGAUUUCUGAUAUUGAAUAGUUAUAAAUGAAUACAAUCACAUUUCAUUGCUAUGCUUAUUGAUACAAGCUUUGGAAGUUUGGACCACAAUUGUCCUGGCAAUGCCAUUGGGGCACCAGCUCCCUAUAUUUUGUUGUAUGUACAAUUUUUCUAAAAUUUCGUACUCUACUAGAGUUUUCUUAUCAUGAACUAAUUGGGAUUUUCUUUAUAGGUAGUGCUUUUAUAUAGCUCUGACCUCGAUUAUUUUUGUUGUUGUAGAUUAUCAUCCUUCUCCUACGAUGGCACGCAUUAUACUAUCUGAGCAUUGCUACCUUCGGUUGCAUCGGUCAGGUUUUUUGGCUCAGUGUUAGAGCCACGUAAAAAAGGACUUACAGGUUCAAUUGAAACCCAACUCUGUCGACAUCGUAGAUACAAAUUGCAUUGGGAUUUAGAUCUACCCGUUUAGAGUUUAACUAUUUGUCAUGCCUCUCAUUGUUCCUUCCUUUCUAUGACUGUCCCCUUGAAGUAUAAACUCAUGAGCUGACAUCAUGUUCAUCAAUCAAGGAUGUACGAGUGUAAUUUGUUCCAUUAUCGAGAUGCAAAACUGACGAUGAAUGAAUAUACUUAAUACACUUGGAAAUAUAAAAUAUGAACACGUAUUCCAUUGGUGGUCAACCCCUUUUUGUUUGGUACCCACAAUUCUGUCAUUUUCAUUUAUAUAGAGUCUCUCUGUGGAUGCUAGUUGAGUUCAUCUAUUAAAGAGAUAUUUAGGAUUUAAGCC